UUAAAAAGCUCGUAGUUGGAUUUCUGCGGGGGCGGGGCGGCCGGAUGCUUAUAGCAUCUCGAGCUAGCACUUCCCCUGCAUCCUGCCGCGAACCAUGCUACCAUUAGUUUGGUGGCGCCGGGGAUCGGCUCGUUUACUUUGAGAAAAAUAGAGUGUUCAAAGCAGGCCACACGCCUUGAAUAAGUUAGCAUGGAAUAAUGAUAAAGGACUUCGGUUCUAUUCUGUUGGUGUUCGGGACUGAAGUAAUGAUUGAUAGGGACAGUUGGGGCGGUCCGUAUUCCAAAGCGAGAGGUGAAAUUCUUAGACCUUCGGAAGACGAACCGCCUGCGAAAGGCGUUCCGCAAGGAUGUCCCUUGAUCAGA
rnacentral:rRNA from 1 species